rnacentral:rRNA from 1 species
CGGGGUGAGUAAUGCUUGGGAAUCUAGCUUAUGAGGGGGAGUAACUACGGGAAACUGUAGCUAAUACCGCGUAAUAUCGAGAGAUUAAAGUGUGGGACCUUCGGGCCACAUGCCAUAGGAUGAGCCCAAGUGGGAUUAGGUAGUUGGUGAGGUAAAGGCUCACCAAGCCGACGAUCUCUAGCUGGUCUGAGAGGAUGACCAGCCACACUGGGACUGAGACACGGCCCAG